GUUGCUAGUUGCAUACUCAUGCACAAUAACAUAUUCAAAGUGAAGAGCGCACCCAUAGGACUUCAAAAUGAACAAGAUAACUUCAUUUUUUUUUUCAGUUGUGCAACCGCAGACACUCAGCAUUUCAGUCCCAUUACUAAAAUGUCCUUAAUAAGCCAAAGUAGUUGUACUGAAACAUUGAUUACAUGCAAACGUACGUCUGCUUUAAAUAAAGGUGCUCUUUUGUUUAUUU